rnacentral:rRNA from 1 species
CAUCCUCCAAGGCUAAAUACUCCUGACUGACCGAUAGUGAACCAGUACCGUGAGGGAAAGGCGAAAAGAACCCCGGCGAGGGGAGUGAAAAAGAACCUGAAACCGUGUACGUACAAGCAGUGGGAGCACAGGUUUACCUGUGUGACUGCGUACCUUUUGUAUAAUGGGUCAGCGACUUAUAUUCUGUAGCAAGGUUAACCGAAUAGGGGAGCCGGAGGGAAACCGAGUCUUAACCGGGCGUUAAGUUGCAGGGUAUAGACCCGAAACCCGGUGAUCUAGCCAUGGGCAGGUUGAAGGUUGGGUAACACUAACUGGAGGACCGAACCGACUAAUGUUGAAAAA